CACGAAUCUUAUCUGUUCAUCUAAUGCAGAAUGUGCACAGCUUAGAGAUGCAGCUUAAUAACUAGAACAACUGAACUCCUUCAACACUUUCACCUUAAAUCUUCUUCUGGUGAUAACUCGACUCAAAUGCUGCCUGACCUGAUGAGUUCCUCCAACAUUUUGUGUGUGUCGCUUUGGAUUUCCAGCAUCUGCAGAACUUCUUUGCGUUUGUUACAUAAGAGCACUUCUCAUUCUGCAGACCUCCAGUACUCCGUAACCUCACCUUUGACAAUCGACUCCAACAACUUCCGAACCACCAAUGUCAAGCUACCAACCACCAAUGCCAAGCCACCAACCACCGAUGCCAAGCUACCAACCACCGAUGCCAAGCUACCAACCACUGAUGCCAAGCUACCAACCACUGAUGUCAAGCUACCAACCACCGAUGCCAAGCUACCAACCACCGAUGCCAAGCUACCAACCACCGAUGUCAAGCUACCAACCACCGAUGCCAAGCCACCAACCACCGAUGCCAAGCUACCAACCACCGAUGCCAAGCUAGGGAAGGUACAUGACAGAGAUGGACACAUGAUCAAUGUGCAAAGAGCAACAAAUUGCAAAUAUAAAAAAAAUACAAAUAACCUAUGAGACAUUUUCUGUCCCCCACUGGGCAUGUCCCCAGGUGGCAGAUUGGGAAAAGCUCUGCAGGUAUGCGGGGCAGGUGGAAAAUAUGCACCAAAACAGAAACGAAUGCAGGUACAUUCAUACCCAGAUUGCGUGGUGCUCCAGUCAGCUUCUGUUCUUUGUGUCAGGAACCAAAACAUGGCUGGAGGCAUAAAAAGCUACAGCUUUUCACUUUAUGGAGAGAUGUCUACAGAAUAGAGUGAUACGGCCACUGGCUGGAGAUCGCCAGGACACGCUUGGAGCUAGAGCUGGACGUGACAGUAAGUGAACCACUAGUGGUCCACUGCGGAUAGGCAGACAGGCAGUGGAAUAUGCCAAGAAAAACCAGAAACAAUCCAACAUGUUACAGGAUCCUGCAGCAGAUUAACUCAAACUGAUUACUAACACAGGCAUAAUCAAAUGGCAAACAUCAUUCGGCAAAAUCUUGCCUUAAAAUACAAACUCAUAAAGGACCCCAACACCUGACUAUAAGCACAAGCCUGAUCCAGUUGUAGAUUGAGAGUGUAUUACGACUGAUCCGUUAUUACAGAUGGGACAAUCCAUAAUAACCAUCUGGAUCUAAUGAUACAUGAUAAACAAUCAAGAACAACUUACGGAAUAGAUAUAGUCAACCCAAACACAUACAACAUUAGUAAGUGAAAAGCACCAGAAAUACGCUGACUUAAAAGAGGAAAUUGAAAGACUAUGGAACAUGAACAGGGUACACAUUGUCACAAUAGUAAUGUCUACAACUGGUAUCAUCCCCAAGUCACAACACAACAGCACUAAACAAUUAGGACUACACAACAGUAUUUAUGUAAAUCUUCAGAAAGCCAACGCCAUUCGGCUCUACAAUUCAACCACCAGGGGCAAGACAUGUUAAGUGCCGGGGUUAGGACUGAGCUUAAGUUACCACUCAAUGCACUUUAGUAAACUAUUUAAGAAUUUUUUAAAAUUUAUUUAUUAAUGCUUUUUGGGAGGGUGAUUUUAGAUGCAUAUCAUAUUAUACUGUUAAAUACUAUAUGUAAUUAGUUUUGCUACAAUAAGUGUAUGGGACACUGGAAAAAUGUUGAAUUUCCCCUUGGGGAUGAAUAAAGAAUCUAUCUAUCUAUCUAUCUAUCUAAUAAACACUAGAAUAGUCAGAAAGUUCCUAGCAAUUGACAAAUAAACUUGCUUGGCUUGGGAGCUGAGAAAAAAAUGUUUAAAAAUUUUUAUAAUAAUAAUAACAAAUAAAUAAGAAAUACAUGUUAAGAACAUGAGAUGAAGAGUCCUUGAAAGUGAGUUCAUAGGCUGUGGGAACAGUUCAGUGAUGGGGCAAAUGAAAUUCAGUGAAGCUAUCUGCCUGGGUUCCAGAGCCAGAUGGUUGAGGGAUAAUAACUGUUCCUGAAUGUGGUGGUGUGCGUCCUGAGGCUCCUGUACAUUCUUCCUGAUGGCAGCAUCGAGGAUAGACUAUGGCUUGGAUGGUGGGGGCCCUUGAUAAUGGAUGCUGAUUUCCUGCUGGAGCACUCUGUGUAAGAUGAGCUCAAUGGUGGGGAGAGGAUGAUGCCUAGCAGUAACUUCACAAGUCCGACAAGUCACUGAAGAAUCAUGUAACUGAAAAGUCAAAAAUAUGCAGAUGAUGGAAACUGAAAACAAAAGCAAAAAAUGAUGGCAGCAGUUAAUGUAUCAUUAGCCGAUGAAAUUUGUUGUUCAGGCAGAGUGGGACGGCUUUGGCUCAAUCUGGCCGGUGAAACCAGCCAGAGUUUGAAGCCUGAAAGUCGGCCUCUGAGAUCAGCGGGGGAAUUUAAAAAGCGAGCAGAGGCUGAGGACGAGCUUCACUCCAGGUGAGGUAAGGCCGGGUAAGCUCCUUUAAUUAAUCUAAUUAGCUUAGGAGUAGGUAAUGGAGGCAGCAGUUAGGGCAGUCGAGUGCUCUGUGGGAGCUAGGUGCCAAGUUAAAGGACAGGACCUCCAGGAUAGCAAUCUCAGGAUUGCUACCAGUGCCAUGUGCAGGUGGGUUUAGAAAUAGUAAGAUAGUGCAGAUCAACACGUGGCUGAAGACGUGGUGCAGGAGGGAGGGCUUCAGAUUUAUAGAUAAUUGGGCAGUUUUCCAGGGAAGGUGUGACCUGUUCUGGCGGGAUGGUCUACAUCUGAACUGGAGGGGGACAAAUAUUCUUGCAGGUAGGUUUGCAAGAGAGGCUCCAGUGGAUUUAAACUAGAUAUGAGGGGGGAGAGAAACCAAAGCGUAGGAACAGAUCUAUGGGAGAAGGAAGAAAAAGAAGACAGUAAAGUUCUUUGUACUGUUAGAGAUGAAAAGAGAGGAGGAGGUGGAGAAUUUCUUAAAUGCAUUUAUUUCAUUGCUAGGAGCAUUGUAAGAAAGGUGGAUGAUCUUAGAGCAUGGAUUGAUACCUGGAAAUAUGAUGUUGUAGCUAUUAGUGAAACAUGGUUGCAGGAGGGGUGAGAUUGGCAAAUAAAUAUUCCUGGAUUUCAUUCCUUCAGGUGUCAUAGAAUUGGAGGGACAAGAGGGGGAGGUGUUGCAUUGCUUGUCAGAGAAAAUAUUACAGCGGUGCUCUGGCAGGAUAGAUUAGAGGGCUCAUCUAGGGAGACUAUUUGGGUGGAACCGAGGAAUGGGAAAGGUGUAGUGAAACUUAUAAGGGUGUAUUAUAGAUCACCUAAUGGGGAGUGAGAAUUGGAGGAGCAAAUCUGCAAGGAGAUAGCAGAUAUUUGUAGUAAGCACAGGGUUGUGAUUGUCGGAGAUUUUAAUUUUCCACACAUAGACUGGGAAGCCCAUUCUGUAAAAGGGAUGGAUGGUUUGGAGUUUGUAAAAUGUGUGCAGGAUAGUUUUUUGCAGCAAUACAUAGAGGUACUGACUAGAGAAGGGGCAGUGUUGGAUCUUCUGUUAGGGAAUGAAAUAGGUCAGGUGACAGAGGUAUGUGUUAGGGAGCACUUCGGGUCCAGUGAUAACAAUACCAUUAGUUUCAAUAUAAUUAUGGAGAAGGAUAGGACUGGACCCAGCAUUGAGAUUUUUGAUUUGAAAAAGGCUAACUUUGAGGAGAUGCGAAAAGAUUUAGUAGGAGUGGAUUGGGAAUUUUUUUUAUGGGAAGGUUGUAAUAGAGAAAUGGAGGUCAUUUAAAGGUGAAAUUUUGAAGGUACAGAAUCUAUAUGUUGCUGUUAGGUUGAAAGGAAAGGUUAGAAGUUUGAUAGAGCCAUGGUUUUCAAGGGAUAUUGGAAACAUCGUUAGGAAAAAGGAGAUAUCUACAAUAAAUAUAGGCAGCAUGGAGUAAAUGAGGUGCUCGAGGAAUAUAAAGAAUGUAAGAAGAAUCUUAAGAAAGAAAUUAGAAAAGC